rnacentral:pre_miRNA from 11 species
CAACGUAGACCCGUGGCACCCAACUUGUGAGGCAUGAGUUGACACAAGUUCGGUUCUACGGGUAUGUGUUAA